AGGAGCAUGUGGUUUAAUUCGAUGAUACGCGAGGAACCUUACCUGGGCUCGAACGUAAGAUGACUGUAGGUGAAAGCUUACAUCUCUUCGGAGCAUUUUACGAGGUGCUGCAUGGUUGUCGUCAGCUCGUGCCGUGAGGUGUCGGGUUAAGUCCCAUAACGAGCGCAACCCCUACCUUUAGUUGCCAUCAGGUAAUGCUGGGGACUCUAAAGGAACUGCCUACGCAAGUAGUGAGGAAGGCGGGGAUGACGUCAAAUCAGCACGGCCCUUACGUCCAGGGCUACACACGUGCUACAAUGGCCGAUACAGAGGGCAGCUACCUGGUGACAGGAUGCAAAUCUCCAAAGUCGGUCUCAGUUCGGAUCGGAGUCUGCAACCCGACUCCGUGAAGUUGGAUUCGCUAGUAAUCGCGCAUCAGCCAUGGCGCGGUGAAUACGUUCCCGGGCCUU
rnacentral:rRNA from 1 species